ensembl:lncRNA
UUUUGCUCUUCCGCACACUGCUGGGUGUGAGUGGCCCGUCUUACGGCUCUGUUCUGCCUUCAGUGGUCCUGCUGUUAGUACAGAGAUAACCUGUCCUCCACCAGGUCAUUUUCAUGAAUUCAAAAUCAACUCACCAGUGAUCUUUGGGAGCUGGAGAUAAAGUCUUUCUGUUUAUGUAAGUAUAAACAUUACAUUCUGGUUAAUGCAUCUUGUCCAACAUCACUUGUGUAUCACUGCUCUAUUAACACCUGUUUUUUCCCCAUGAU